UACCGAGGUCCCAAGCGUUGUUCGGAUUCAUUGGGCGUAAAGGGUGCGUAGGCGGCGCGGUAAGUCGGGUGUGAAAUCUCGGGGCUUAACUCCGAAACUGCAUUCGAUACUGCCGUGCUUGAGGACUGGAGAGGAGACUGGAAUUUACGGUGUAGCGGUGAAAUGCGUAGAUAUCGUAAGGAAGACCAGUGGCGAAGGCGGGUCUCUGGACAGUGCCUGACGCUGAGGCACGAAGGCCAGGGGAGCAAACGGG
rnacentral:rRNA from 1 species